UACGUAGGGAGCAAGCGUUGUCCGGAAUUACUGGGCGUAAAGGGCGCGUAGGCGGCCUGCUAAGUCAGACGUGAAAUCCCCCGGCUUAACCUGGGAACUGCGUCUGAUACUGGAAGGCUUGAGGAUGGGAGAGGGAUGUAGAAUUCCAGGUGUAGCGGUGAAAUGCGUAGAUAUCUGGAGGAAUACCGGUGGCGAAGGCGGCAUCCUGGACCAUUACUGACGCUGAGGCGCGAAAGCUAGGGGAGCAAACGGG
rnacentral:rRNA from 1 species